rnacentral:rRNA from 1 species
UACGGAGGGUGCAAGCGUUAUCCGGAUUCACUGGGUUUAAAGGGUGCGUAGGUGGGCAGGUAAGUCAGUGGUGAAAUCUCCGAGCUUAACUCGGAAACUGCCGUUGAUACUAUUUGUCUUGAAUAUUGUGGAGGUAUGCGGAAUAUGUCAUGUAGCGGUGAAAUGCUUAGAUAUGACAUAGAACACCAAUUGCGAAGGCAGCUUACUACACAACGAUUGACGCUGAGGCACGAAAGCGUGGGGAUCAAACAGG